rnacentral:other from 1 species
CGUUACCUGCAGUGUACGAGGCGUUCUCCGAAUCCCUUAGAACCUAAUUCACACUUCAGGGUACUGACAAUGGGCGGCGGGCGUGCAUGAACACGGCCUAGGCUGGCGGGAAUCCCGAAGCCGUCUUUUGUGCCCACUUGAACCAUCCGGUUCAAGGUAAAGUGAGCGCACGACACCCGCGGGUAACGC